AACGAACGCUGGCGGCGUGCUUAAGACAUGCAAGUCGAACGGAAAGGCCCUGUAACUUCGGUUACGGGGUACUCGAGUGGCGCACGGGUGAGUAACGCGUGGGUAAUCUGCCCUUACGUCGGGGACAACUCCGGGAAACUGGAGCUAAUACCGGAUGAGCCCACGGAGUCUUCGGGCUCCGCGGGAAAAGGUGGCCUCUCCUUGGAAGCUAUCGCGAAAGGAUGAGCCCGCGUUUGAUUAGCUUGUUGGUGGGGUAACGGCUCACCAAGGCUCCGAUCAAUAGCUGGUCUGAGAGGAUGAUCAGCCACACUGGAACUGAGACACGGUCCAGACUCCUACGGGAGGCAGCAGUCGGGAAUUUUGGGCAAUGGGCGAAAGCCUGACCCAGCAACGCCGCGUGAGGGAUGAAGGCCUUCGGGUCGUAAACCUCUGUCGAGAGGGAAGAACGUUAGUCGGGUUAAUACCCCGAUUGGCUGACGGUACCUCCAAAGGAAGCACCGGCUAACUCCGUG
rnacentral:rRNA from 1 species